UCGUCAGGUGGGAUAAUCCUUACCUGUUCCUCCUGCGGGAGGGCAGAUCGGAACAUGAUGAUUGGAGUUCGGAUGAUGCGUGAUUAGCGUCUCUGUGUGGCUGGGACUUGCAACACCCCGGUCGCUCCUGUCUGAU